rnacentral:rRNA from 1 species
CUUGGUCAUUUAGAGGAAGUAAAAGUCGUAACAAGGUUUCCGUAGGUGAACCUGCGGAAGGAUCAUUAUUGAAUAACUUGGUGUUGAGCUGGCCCUACUCGGGCAUGUGCUUGCAUCAUAUUAUUUAUCUAUCUCUUGUGCACCUUUUGUAGUCUUUGAAGCUUUCGCAGUCAAUGCGGUUUUGGGUCUUGGGUGGCUUUGCUGCCCUUUUUCCUGUUUGCUUCAAAGGCUAUGUUUUCAUACACACUAUUUGAAGUUACAGAAUGUCUCUUAUUGACUCUUCGAGUCGGUAAAUCUAUACAACUUUCAGCGACGGAUCUCUUGGCUCUCCCAUCGAUGAAGAACGCAGCGAAAUGCGAUAAGUAAUGUGAAUUGCAGAAUUCAGUGAAUCAUCGAAUCUUUGAACGCACCUUGCGCCCUUUGGUAUUCCGAAGGGCAUGCCUGUUUGAGUGUCAUUAAAUUCUCAACCUUGCAAGCUUUGCUUGUGAGGCUUGGAUGUGAGGGUUUUGCUGGCUUCCUUUUCGGAUGGUCUGCUCCCUUUAAAUUCAUUAGUGGGAUCCUUUGUGGAUGGUCACUUGGUGUGAUAAUUAUCUACGCCGCCUGACUCUGACGCAAGACUUGUGGGAACCUGCUUAUAACUGUCUCUUUCAGAGACUUAUCUUUUGACAAUUUGACCUCAAAUCAGGUAGGACUACCCGCUGAACUUAAGCAUAUCAAUAAGCGGAGGAAAAGAAACUAACAAGGAUUCCCUUAGUAACUGCGAGUGAAGCGGGAAAAGCUCAAAUUUAAAAUCUGGCGGCUCCGCCGUCCGAGUUGUAAUUUAGAGAAGUGCUAUCCGCGCUGGACCGUGUACAAGUCUCCUGGAAUGGAGCGUCAUAGAGGGUGAGAAUCCCGUCUUUGACACGGACUCCCAGGGCAUUGCGAUGCGCUCUCAAAGAGUCGAGUUGUUUGGGAUUGCAGCUCAAAAUGGGUGGUAAAUUCCAUCUAAAGCUAAAUAUUGGGGAGAGACCGAUAGCGAACAAGUACCGUGAGGGAAAGAUGAAAAGAACUUUGGAAAGAGAGUUAAACAGUACGUGAAAUUGCUGAAAGGGAAACGCUUGAAGUCAGUCGCGUUGUUCGGGAUUCAACUUUAGCUUCUGCUGGGUGGAUUUCCUGUUCGACGGGUCAGCAUCAGUUUUGGCCGGUGGAUAAAGGUCCAGAGAAUGUGGCAUCUUCGGAUGUGUUAUAGCUCUGGGUCGCAUACAUCGGCUGGGACUGAGGAACUCAGCACGCCGCAAGGCCAGGUUUCGACCAUGUUCGUGCUUAGGAUGCUGGCAUAAUGGCUUUAAUCGACCCGUCUUGAAACACGGACC